CUGGCCUGUCUGCAUCCAUGAGCCAGGAAGACCUAUCCCUAGUGAUUCUCCUUGGUCCUCUCCUGCCCUGUCUAGCUAUGAGAUGUGCCCAGUGCUGUCCUGGUCCUGGCCUCCAGCCUCAGCACCUGGGUGACUUAGCCCUGUGUUCUUGUACCGGGAGCCACUUGGCGCCUGAGAACCUCCGUUUGUUUCAUCUGUGGAUUGGGGAUAAGAUGCCCUUUCUCCAUGAUGCCUGCGAUUUCUGGCUGUGCACGCCAUCUGUCUCACCUCAAAGCCCUGGUGUAUGCUGUCAUCUCCAUCUUGAGAGCCCCGUCUGGUCCCCUGCUCCUCUGAUCUCAGCUGAGAGGCCGAUGCUGCUGUGUGGGACGACUGUCCAUUUCCUUACCUGUCACCGCCUCCCUCUGUCUUUGAGCCCCUGGGGAACUGGGCCUGUGCUGUUGAGCAUUUCCUUCCUCAUCUGAAUGUCUGCUCUCGAACAUCAACAGAUGUUUGGACAUACUGUGUGUCGGACAUUAUCAUAUAAACAUGUCAAAGAGGACUCUCAUCCUCAGGAAGUUCAAGUUCUAAAUAGGAUGCAGGACUGGAUGUCGCUCUCUAGAACUCCGGGCGACCGGCAGUAUGGAACUGCUUGGGGCUCCCUAGGCAGGCUGGGGUCCUCAUCUCUGUCUGCGUAUGAUCCAGGCCUUGUUUAAUCUCCACAUCACAGGCGGUCAUCUUGUGCCUGUGAUUCCUUGCACGUUGGAAACGCCAUCCAAGCAGGGUUUCAGAGUGUGGGUGCUCAAAGGACUGUGGACCCUUUGAGAGUCAGAGGGUGCAUCUCAUUGGAUCUUGGUAACUCCAGGACCCAGGUCCAGGCUGUGCACUGAGCAAGUUCUAAGCAAACAUGGGCUCAAGAAUAAGGAGGAUCAAGUUCUCACCUUGCUUCUGGCUGAGGCUGACUUUCAUAUCUAAGGGGCUUCCUGCACAAUUCAGAGCUCAUUGACCGCUUGAAGGUGGGGUUAAAUCGAACUCGCAGAGACUGGUGAAAAGGGAACGAGACUGAGCUCCGUGGGAACCACAGAGGAGCUUCCUGGACUCCUGUCGUGUCCUCUGUGAGAUUCAGGGUUAGUCCAGGGCUGCAAACUCAAGUACGUCGGGCACAGAUGAAAGACGGAUGAGAGGGUCCUGGCGGGAAAGAGAAGGCUGAAAGAGGCCUUAUGAAGAGGGUUGAGUCCAUGCAGAGAUGGGAGCUCGGGCCCUGGCAGUGCCCACCUGUUGACGCUGAGUGACAGCCCAGGCAGGGAGCGGGGAAGGUGCACUCCGGCUGGCUCUCAUUACUGCCUCCUCUCCGGGCCUCCUGUUGGUGAGUCUGAUCCAGGACCAAAGAAAAGGCCCAUCAUGAUCCCUGGAGACCCAUCUCCAGGGGCCGGGGACGGGAUUCAGGGUGGAGAACGAUCCUGGGAACCAGGGGAAGGUGCUGAACGGGGUAUCGGGUAGGACAGGUCUUAUUUCAACAGAGAAGCCCCUCCGGUUGCCCUUGAGACGCACGGUGGCUUUGGGCUCACCCUAACUGCUCCGUGUCUUCGUAUCCCCUUCUCCACGGUGGAAUGACAACGAGAAUGAGGAGAAGAGAGUGUCUAUUAUUAUUACCAGGACUCUGAGCAUUACAUAAAUCAGCCCGUGGGAUGAAUU